GUGGAGCGCCAGGAUCAUGGGCAGCUUCUUGACUUUCAUCCUGAACCGACCGAAACCGACAGGGGAUCUGUCUGCGGCGCCCAAGUAAACGGAGACAUUCCCUGCCCUCGACGAGCUCACAGUCGAGAGGGGAAAACGGACGUCGGCCGCUGGCCCGUGUGACCUCGGGGUCCCGCAUCUGACAGGAGAGAACUCAAGGGAUAUCAGAAGCAGCGUCCGGGAACUCGAACGUUGAGACGGCCGAAGGACGUGUGCUACGCUGUCUGCUUUCCUUAUGUGGGGCUCCUUCCGGGGGGAGCCCCUGCCUUGUCCAACUAUCAUCAGCGGCAGCAGCGUUUAUUGAGCACCAAAUAAACUAGUCCUUCGGACGGGCUAUACGGGGCGCUGCAAACUGAGUGCUGAACAACUGCACGGUCUCCUUCCAGCCGAAAGACAACUCCCCUACUCCGCCUCCCGGGAAAGAGCAAGGGCUUGGGAGUUUGAAAAUCCAGCUCAGCCGGCAAGUGAAAAGCAAUUAAAUGUUCUGUCACCUGCA